AGGUAUAAACACCGGCAUCAUCACACAUACUGGUGAAACUGGCUAGGGUAUAAACACCGGCAUCAUCACACAUACUGGUGAAACUGGCUAGGGUAUAAACACCGGCAUCAUCA